CAGGCAUUCGGCGAGCGAAGGCUGGCUGUUAAUGAAACCAAUCUCUCGCUCCAAUUCGAAAUUCAUGGCCUUCUUAAUGCCGAAUGGAGAAUGUUAUGAAUAUUAUAGAGAUUGGACGUUGAGGUUUUUUUGGUUAUCUCUCCCAAUUACAUCUCAGUAUUUUGCAAUUCAAGUGAAGAAGAUUUGCACCUAAAAUCUGGCGACUGAGUAAUUAACAAGGUCCAAUGACUGUUCUGCCCAGACACCACGUGGUGUCUCAGUACACCGGAUGGAAACUUUUUACCCCUUAAUUCCUGAAUGUUUGUGUAAGUCUCUAGACCUUGUUUGGUAAUAAAGAUAUUUACAAGCUGAAGAAGUGCUUUAUUCUUUAGUUUUGUAAGAAGCAAUAAUUGAAGACUUAUUUCCACUCACAAAUCCACUGCCCCAACCCCCCACACACAUUCACAGCCCUUGAUAUUAGAACAAUAUAGAUGGAAAGCAGCAGAGGAAUAAUAAGGCAAUAAAUAUGAAGGAGACAUUGCCUCUAACGCCACGGCUGUGUGUAUGUGUGUUUACUUGUGAAUAGAAAGACAGAGAGACUGAGGGACUGAGAGACAGAGAGACAGAGAGAGAGCUUAAAGCAUGAUUUGAAUGGUUUUGCUAUUACAGCUGUCCACUCAAAAGUAG